ensembl:lncRNA
GACUCGCUCGUUAGUGCCCACACACUCCACACAAACACACACUGGAACAACGCGGGCCUGAGGGUCUCCAGCAGUGAUGACACCCCCAAAGGAAUCAACACAAGCCUCUCUCUGCAUCUGUGUGUGCGUGUGUGUUUAGAGGAGACACAAAGCGUGGAAGUAGGAGGUGGGACAGAAGUUUCCUGUUGUCGGUGGAGACUUAUUCAGGACGAGACAGCGGGAGAGAGAAAGGAGGGAGAGACGACAGAAAGAGAGGGAUUAGUCAGAGGAGAGAAGGCAGUGGCAGAGAGAGAGAGAGAGAGAGAGAGAGAGCACAGAAGAGAGGAAACUGAGAAAGACCUGUCUGUACUGUGUUUUGUGGGAAGAUGGUUUCAGCGGUGCUUCUGGUGGCUUUUCUGGGUUUGACGUUUGUGUCCAGCACCGAUGCCGAAGGAAACGGUACACAACCGGCUGUGUCUGACAUUCAGAAUGAUGGUAAGAGAGGGAGAGGGGACACCCCUGACAUCGAGGAGCCUGAGCCCGAGCCCGAGCCCGAGCCUGAGCCUGAGCCGACGGCCGCCGUGUCCGACUUGGACAGCACCUACAACUACGUGUGUGCGUCCGCAAAUAACUCUAACCCACUGUAAUGAAACAAAGGCAGGCCUAUUCUUACCCAGGACAUGCACAUGCAGGCCACGCUCAUCAUGCAAAUCAGCUAGAAGCAACCACCCCUAUCUCUAACACACCCUGUGACAAACAUGCCAGUUCCUCCGAACCCUUUGAAGUGUGCUGUACUGAAGGUGGUGGAGGUGGUGAAGGUGGCUAUUAAGGCAAUAGUUGAAAUAGUGAAAAAUGAAUGCUACACAUCCCCCCAUAAUCUCAACGUUGAUCAGCCAAGACAUGUUUGGAGUCUGAGGUUUGCUUCUUUAGUUUUCCUAUAGAGCUACGAGGCUAAUGUAAGGAAUCUUCAAAGCAUACGGUUAUCCAUCUGUAUAGAAAACAGUGCUGUACAGUGUAACAAACCACAUAAGAUUAGUGAACAGCUCAACACAGUUCGAGGCAACUGUUGCGUGUAACUGGUAGCACAUUCCCUACAGGGCACAAACUUCAUUAUGGCAUUUUUCUGCAAAUAUCGGUGCACAAUUCCUAUUUAAUUCCCAAAUUUAACAUAUAAAAUGUUCUAUGACUUUUGCACAGGCCACAUUUUAUGUUUUGUUUUUAUUCUAAUAUGUUCAACUCAGCAAAUAAACAGUGAUUGUGCAUUAAAAUGUUCCAUAAACCAUUGAAAUGAUAUUUUCUAAGCUGUACUGACUCCACACACCCCGUCUCAUCUCCAGGCUAUUUACUUUAUCGUUCUGUUUGAAAACAUUAGGUUAAUAAAUGUGUACUUUUUACCUGGAAAAAACAUAUUUAAGGUACAGAAUUGGACCUUAAAACCGCUGUUGUACCUUUGAGGGAACAUUUCCAUCGUUUGUAGCAUAUCACCAAAACGUAACUUGGCUGAGGCGCUCAAACUUUUGCUUGGGGCAUUUACAUGCCUUUUUUUUUUGUUAAUUUUAUUCAACUAUUAAAGUAAGCAGAACUCUUGGUUGAGAGUAUAUAAGCACACACACAUGCUUUAAAUGUUAACAUUAUCUACUUAGUUAAUGAACAGACAUUACUCAGAGCUGCCCUAAAAUGUGUUACAUCGGGAGCAACGAGGGGCAAAAGGGUAAGAAUGAGAUCCCCAACCCAAAAUAAAAUACUUCACAUCUUAGGAUCACAGAGCCAACACGGAUUGAACGGGGAACAGACAUGACAAAAGAAACGCAGGAUAAAUAAACAACGGAGGCCAGAAGAAACAAAUAUCAAACAUAGACCAAACAGCACGAGAAUACAACACAAAGACCAAGCAAAUCAAACAAUUCAAGCAAUAUAUUACACUUCAAAGACCAGCAAACAACUAGGGAAAAAGACAGGGCUUAAAUACAGAGACAACAAGGGUUAAUAAGACACAGGUGAUAAACACAGGUGGAUACAAUCAAGGGCAGGGUCUGGAAACAAGGGGGCAGGACCAGGAACGAAUCAAAACAAAAGCACAUGGACCAGACCAAAACAAACCAAAAGCACAUGGAUGACUGGGAGGGGCCAAUAGUGACAUAAAGAUGGCCAUGCCAAGAUAAAAUUGACAGCAGCAGCUUUCUUUAUCCUUUAUCCUUUAGAUUAGCCUCAUAGCUCCAGUGCGAAACUACAGAACCAAACUUUAGACACCUAACAGACACCUAACAUGUCUUGGCUGAUCAACCGCAUUUUGGAGUACAGAGGGAAAUGAGCAAAUGUGACUUUUACUAAACUAUCGCUUUAGUGUAGCAAGUUUGUGGCUAAUUUUUGUAUUUCUAUGCAGUAAAAUGCAGGUUUACCUUGGAAAGCUGCAAACACAGCCAUGAGGAACGCAGUUUUAAAGUCUCUCCUACAGAAAUAGCCUGAUUUAAAGCAGCUGCCACACAUUUAUGAAAUGAAAUAUGUGAUUCAUCGCUGAGGUCAGUAAUCGCAAGUGUUUCCUAUGUUUAUCCGACACAUCCCCAGCCUGAGGAAGGGUGGCUAUUGCAUGAGACAUCAUGUGUUUCCAGCGUCUGUCCUUUUAAUCUCAACGCUCUUAUUAUGUGGUAUUAUCUUAUUAUUAGGUCGCUUGGACUGCGGACGUAGAUGCAAAACACUUUCAUUACAUUUGUUAACCUCAGACUCACUGAACUUGAGUGUACAUGAAUAUCUAGCUCAAAGACCACGUUAUCUGCUUGGUGGGAUGUCAGCACUCAACUCUUUUUAAAAGGGGAUGUCCACUGAUUGUUCAAAACGUCUGUCUAAUUAAAUAAAGAUAAAAACACUCACAGAGGUUUGAUGUGAAAUGCUCCAUUCUAAUAGUCCAAAGAGCUUAAUGCCAUUAAAAGCUAAUUUACAGUUAUGAUAGAAAUGGUAAUGAAUAUUCUCCGUGAUACCUGGGACAAUGAGUGCCUUUACCUGCACUCACUAAUCCAGUCAUAAUCAGAUUUCUGCAACUAUCUGAUUAUUCAAAUGAUCAUGUAAAUGUAACUGCACACUCAGAUUUCGUAGACUGGAGUCUAGGAAUCUGAUAAAGAGGCUGGACUUUACCUCAGUAAUCUGAUUUCUCAGGGCAUGUGAACUCUUACUCUGAUUUCUUUCGGAUUCCUCAGGCUGCACAUGAGCAAAAACAGACAGCAGCACUGGAAAUAAGCGAGCAGCAAAACACCUUUGUAGCGGCACUGAAAGAACUACAUGCUUGACGAAAUAAAGGAUUUAAAUAUUCUUCAUCUUCUAGAAGACGUAUAUUCAUAUUUUCAGGAAAAAUGAUGCAGUGUUUACAUAAAACAGCCACAGCAUGAAGUUUGAGUUGUGCAUUACUUGACCAUCACACCUUCUUCUGUGAGUUUAUUGGCUGGUUGCAAAGCCAAUCUGAUUACUCUGACUCGUGGACUCAUGUAGACCUGGAGUUUCCCCAUUAUCUCAUUACCCAUGUUGUUCAGAUUGCUGACAAAAUGUGAUUUGCUGCAGUUAUCAGAUUAUUAAAUGCAUGUAAACGCACUCAUUGUUUUAGGAUAGUUUUAACUUUUGGCCGCUAGAAACAUCGGUGGUGGAGGGGUACAUGCAGGGCAUUGUGAGGCAAAAUAGUCCCUAAAGAAAUAUAAUUUCCUCAGAUUUAGCUCUAUUUUACCUUCAUCAACAUUACAUAUAAAAUGUUAAAAGCUCAGAAGACUUGUGCUGUAGACGUUGUGAUACCUGGUUUCUAUCACCACCACUGUAAAGAAAGCCUGGUUUGCAUCUAAACUACUGAAUAAUGCAGAAAUUUUGAAAUAUCAGUGGAAUUCCCAUUAACAGUAAGCUGGGAAAGAAAACAGCCGUGCCUUUACUUUAAAACCUGCCCUUCAUACCAAUAAAGUCACUUUAGCUGUUUUACCUUUACAGUGGUUUUCUUAGUUAUCUCAAAAGUAGCAAUGUUUAUAAGUAGCUUGUAAAUGUUUCUGAAGCUUCCCUUUGUGUC